rnacentral:rRNA from 1 species
GACGAACGCUGGCGGCGUGCCUAAUACAUGCAAGUCGAACGCAUUUUCUUUCACCGUAGCUUGCUACACCGAAAGAAAAUGAGUGGCGAACGGGUGAGUAACACGUCGGUAACCUGCCCAUCAGCGGGGGAUAACACUUGGAAACAGGUGCUAAUACCGCAUAAUUCCAUUUACCGCUUGGUAAAUGGAUUAAAGGCGCUUUUUCGUCACUUUUGGCUGUUCCCGAGUUGCAUUUGCUAUUUGGUGGGGUAACGGCCUACCAAGGCUGAGAUGAAUAGCCGAACUGAGAGGGUGAUCGGCCAAAAUGGGACUGAGAAACGGCCCAGAAUCCUACGGGAGGCAGCAGUAGGGAAACUUCGGCAAUGGACGCAAGUCUGACCGAGCAACGCCGCGGGAGUGAAGAAGGUUUUCGGAUCGUAAAACUCUGUUGUUAGAGAAGAACAAGGAUGAGAGUGGAAAGUUCAACCCUUGACGGUAUCUAACCAGAAAGCCACGGCUAACUACGUG